AUCGGGGACAGUAAAUACAUAUCACUUGUCCUUCACACCUUCUGGCUCCUUCCUUUCCAUGGAGUGAUCCCCUUAGGCCUUACUGUAAAGAGGAUAUGCUGGAGUGGGGAGAGAGGUUGUAUGCUGUGUUUGCUUUUUAUAGGUUUUCUAUCUUUACCCCUGUGAUCAGACUCUCAUGUGUUAUGUCUUGCUGCUUUUAGUGUCUUUUCAUUAGCAGCCUUUUUCUCCCUUAAAUAUGCUGCAUUUAAUCUUACACCAGCUAGAAAACCAGACAAAUGGAUUGUUAGAAGUAUAUAUAAAUUAAGAGUAACUGUGAUCUGAGUGAGAGCCCUAGGGCCUCUCCUGUUGUAUAACGUUGUAAUUCUCAACUGUGGCUGCACAUUAGAAUCACCUGGAGAGCCUUUAAAGCACAUCCGUGCCUAGGUCCCACCCCAGGCCAAUUACAUCAGAUUCUCUGGCAGUGGGGCCCAGGCAUGGAUGUGUUUAAAAACUCCAUGUGUGAUUCUCAUGUGCACUGCUUCUCAGCAGUGGUUGAGUGCACUCGGCUUUGACAGAUCUGGAUUCACUGAAGAGAAGUCUGGUUCUCUCCCAGAAUGUGCCCCAAAUCUAGGAGGUUGCCCCAAGGAGACCAGAUGGUGGGGAGGUUCAGGGGUGCUGCAGCUGCUGUUGUGCUUCAUAAAGAAAGCAGCUCUAGCUGGGCACCUUUAAUCCCAGGGAUUUGGGAGGCUGAGGCAGGAAGAUCCCAAGAUCUGGGCCAGCCUGGGUAAUUUAGUAGGACCUUGUUGCAAAAAAACAAAAAGGAGGGAUGUAGCUCAGUGAUUCAAUCUCCAGCACCAAGAAAAAGAAAGAAAAC
rnacentral:lncRNA from 1 species